rnacentral:sRNA from 15 species
CUGAGACAGGUGGGCCCGCGGCAGAGUGCGACCGAUAAACUGUUCUCGGACGUCGCCGGGUGCAGCUCCCCGUGCCGUCCACCAAUGAUCAGCCAGCAGCCGCUGCAACCCCAGGGAG